AACGAACGCUGGCGGCAUGCCUAACACAUGCAAGUCGAACGAGACCUUCGGGUCUUGUGGCGCACGGGUGCGUAACGCGUGGGAACCUGCCCUUAGGUUCGGAAUAACUCCCCGAAAGGGGUGCUAAUACCGGAUAAUGUCUUCGGACCAAAGAUUUAUCGACUUUGGAUGGUCCCGCGUUGGAUUAGCUAGUUGGUAGGGUAAAAGCCUACCACGGCGACGAUCCAUAGCUGGUCUGAGAGGAUGAUCAGCCACACUGGGACUGAGACACGGCCUAGACUCCUACGGGAGGCAGGAGUGGGGAAUAGUGGACAAUGGGCGAAAGCCUGAUCCAGCAAUGCCGCGUGAGUGAUGAAGGCCUUAGGGUUGUAAAGCUCUUUUACCCGGGAUGAUAAUGACAGUACCGGGAGAAUAAGCUCCGGCUAACUCCGUG
rnacentral:rRNA from 1 species